rnacentral:rRNA from 1 species
CAGGCUUAACACAUGCAAGUCGAGGGGCAGCAUGGUCUUAGCUUGCUAAGGCCGAUGGCGACCGGCGCACGGGUGAGUAACACGUAUCCAACCUGCCGUCUACUCUUGGACAGCCUUCUGAAAGGAAGAUUAAUACAAGAUGGCAUCAUGAGUCCGCAUGUUCACAUGAUUAAAGGUAUUCCGGUAGACGAUGGGGAUGCGUUCCAUUAGAUAGUAGGCGGGGUAACGGCCCACCUAGUCUUCGAUGGAUAGGGGUUCUGAGAGGAAGGUCCCCCACAUUGGAACUGAGACACGGUCCAAACUCCUACGGGAGGCAGCAGUGAGGAAUAUUGGUCAAUGGGCGAGAGCCUGAACCAGCCAAGUAGCGUGAAGGAUGACUGCCCUAUGGGUUGUAAACUUCUUUUAUAAAGGAAUAAAGUCGGGUAUGGAUACCCGUUUGCAUGUACUUUAUGAAUAAGGGUUGGCUAACUCCGUGCCAGCAGCCGCGGUAAUACGGAGGAUCCGAGCGUUAUCCGGAUUUAUUGGGUUUAAAGGGAGCGUAGAUGGAUGUUUAAGUCAGUUGUGAAAGUUUGCGGCUCAACCGUAAAAUUGCAGUUGAUACUGGAUAUCUUGAGUGCAGUUGAGGCAGGCGGAAUUCGUGGUGUAGCGGUGAAAUGCUUAGAUAUCACGAAGAACUCCGAUUGCGAAGGCAGCCUGCUAAGCUGCAACUGACAUUGAGGCUCGAAAGUGUGGGUAUCAAACAGGAUUAGAUACCCUGGUAGUCCACACGGUAAACGAUGAAUACUCGCUGUUUGCGAUAUACUGCAAGCGGCCAAGCGAAAGCGUUAAGUAUUCCACCUGGGGAGUACGCCGGCAACGGUGAAACUCAAAGGAAUUGACGGGGGCCCGCACAAGCGGAGGAACAUGUGGUUUAAUUCGAUGAUACGCGAGGAACCUUACCCGGGCUUAAAUUGCAGAUGAAUUACGGUGAAAGCCGUAAGCCGCAAGGCAUCUGUGAAGGUGCUGCAUGGUUGUCGUCAGCUCGUGCCGUGAGGUGUCGGCUUAAGUGCCAUAACGAGCGCAACCCUUGUUGUCAGUUACUAACAGGUUCCGCUGAGGACUCUGACAAGACUGCCAUCGUAAGAUGUGAGGAAGGUGGGGAUGACGUCAAAUCAGCACGGCCCUUACGUCCGGGGCUACACACGUGUUACAAUGGGGGGUACAGAGGGCCGCUACCACGCGAGUGGAUGCCAAUCCCCAAAACCUCUCUCAGUUCGGACUGGAGUCUGCAACCCGACUCCACGAAGCUGGAUUCGCUAGUAAUCGCGCAUCAGCCACGGCGCGGUGAAUACGUUCCCGGGCCUUGUACACACCGCCCGUCAAGCCAUGGGAGCCGGGGGUACCUGAAGUGCGUAACCGCGAGGAGCGCCCUAGGGUAAAACUGGUGACUGGGGCUAAGUCAUAACAAG